CCCGUCACGCCAUGGGAGCUGUGAGCGCCCGAAGUCGGUGCAAUAACCCUCACGGGGAUGAGCCGCCGAAGGCGAGCGCAGUGACUGGGGCG
rnacentral:rRNA from 1 species